rnacentral:lncRNA from 1 species
AGAGCCUUCCUCUCAGCCAUAUCAGCACAAUCAGGCAGGGGAAAGCACCAGAAGGUCCUGCAUCCUCCUUCUUGUCCUCUGGGGCGUGUUUCCCAGCUGCUCAGGGCCUGCUGCUGUUCCCUAAAGAGCCGCCUCCAUGCCUUUUCCUGAAGCAUCCGCAUUCCUUCUUCCACCUUCAAAAGAACUGCCCUGUCACGGCACACAGAUUUUGUCAACGAGGCACAAGCUAGAGUCAACUCGAAAGAGAACAUCACAACUGACAAAAGGCCUCCAUCAGGAUGAGCCUGGAACACCGAAGCCUGAUGUGAAUGAUAUGUCUGUUUGGGGGUUCUAGUUCAAUCCACUAUGAUUACCCAAUUGCUAGCACCUUUCAGUCUCUUCCAACCAGGAAGCCAGCCUCUGAGAAGUCUCCUUGGAAGAUGAUGGUCUUGCUUCCUAGCUCAUUCAACAAACUGAAGCCAUCCCCAGCCUCCGCCACCACACCCUCCAGCCUGCCUUCCCACUUUCCACUGAGAAUGAACUGUCACGUCCCAGCCAACACCGUCCCCACUCAUCCAUCCGUGCACAGCUGGCUCCCGCAGGCCUCUCCUUUCCCUGCAUAGCCAAUUAUUCCCUCAGCUCUGCUGCACUCUGCUGCAAAUGAA